rnacentral:rRNA from 1 species
AACGUAGGAGACAAACGUUAUCCGGAGUUACUGGGCGUAAAGGGCGUGUAGGUGGUUUCGUAAGUCUGGCGUGAAAUUUUUCGGCUUAACCGGGAAAGGUCGUCGGAUACUGCGGAGCUAGAGGACGGUAGAGGCGUGUGGAAUUCCGGGUGUAGUGGUGAAAUGCGUAGAGAUCCGGAGGAACACCAGUGGCGAAGGCGAACACGCUGGGCCGUACCUGACACUGAUGCGCGACAGCAUGGGGAGCAAACAGG